AAGUCGUAACAAGGUCUCCGUUGGUGAACCAGCGGAGGGAUCAUUACAGAGUUAUCCAACUCCCAAACCCAUGUGAACUUAUCUCUUUGUUGCCUCGGCGCAAGCUACCCGGGACCCAGUGCCCCGGGCGGCCCGCCGGCGGACAAACCAAACUCUGUUAUCUUAGUUGAUUAUCUGAGUGUCUUAUUUAAUAAGUCAAAACUUUCAACAACGGAUCUCUUGGUUCUG
rnacentral:misc_RNA from 1 species